rnacentral:sRNA from 1 species
AAAACAUCAAGCUGAGUGCCAAAUGAACAAUUUUGAUUUUGUUAAUAAAAUGCCAAUAUAUAUGUUUACAUAAAUAUAUAUUUUUAUUACUCGCAGGAAUCCCCGAAUUGCAGCAGAAGACAAAUAAAAGGUUUCAGACUUUGAAUGGUUUAUUUUCCUGGCUCUGAGCUCCGAAGAUGCUUGCCACUUCAAUUUUAAAAGGAGCAGGAAGAUAAAAAAGUUGUCAGUUUUGCAAAAAAACAAAAAAGAAAAGAUGCCUUCCGUAUCCGGGAAAUUGAUUAAUGGGCAUCCCAGGCCGUUUAACAAUUAUCCUUGAGGAAUCCCCGAAUUGCAGCAGAAGACAAAUAAAAGGACACAUUGCGCAUUAUAGAAAGUAACUCGUAAUGCUUCCUUUGCAGUUGCAAGUUUCAGACUUUGAAUGGUUUAUUUUCCUGGCUCUACGCUCCGAAGAUGCUCGCCACUUCAAUUUUAAUAGGAGCAGGAAGAUAAAAAAGUGUGUAAGGCCAUGUGAUUUAUUAAGAGGACAACUAAUUUUGGCGACGCAUAUGCUAUAAAGGCAGAUGGUCGCAUACGGGAUAGAUAUCCAAAGCCGUUCAACAAUUAUCCUCAAGUGUAAGGCCAUGUGAUUUAUUAAGAGGACAACUAAUUUUGGCGAUGCAUAUGAUACAAAGGCAGAUGGUCGCAUACGGGAUAGAUAUCCAAAGCCGUUCAACAAUUAUCCUCAAGUGUAAGGCCAUGUGAUUUAUUAAGAGGACAACUAAUUUUGGCGAUGCAUAUGCUACAAAGAUGACCUGACCGUGGACAGGAAAUUAAUUGAUAGAUAUACCAGGCCGUUAAACAUUUAUCGUCAAGUGUAAGGCCAUGUGAUUUAUUAAGAGGACAACUAAUUUUGGCGAUGCAUAUGAUACAAAGGCAGAUGUACGUGUACAAGAUGGAUAUUCAAAGCCGUUCAACAAGUAUAUGGCAAUGUGAAUGACUAAGAGGACGACUAAUUUUGGCGACGCAUUUACUUCAAAGUGUGAAACCUAUAGAACCAUUUUUCUUUUCUUAAUUGGGGUAGAGCUAAAUCUAGCAAAAAUAAUUACCUCUUCCCGAUAUUGUUUCCCUAAUCAAAGUUAAGUUAAUUUAAAAUAUGGGCAGCCUGCGAUGUUUGAUCUACCAGGAAGGGAAAUGUUCCUUCACCUACGCAAUAUAAAGAUUUCCUAGUUAUUCUUAUACUAUAUAACUGAUUUUUUAUUAAUACAUUUAUAGUAACACAUGAUUUUAAACGGAAA